GAGGGUAUAGCUCAGUGGUAGAGCACAUGCUUCGCAUGCACAAAGUCCUGGGUUCAAUUCCCAGUACCUCCA
rnacentral:tRNA from 1 species